UACGAAGGGGGGCAAGCGUUGUUCGGAAUUACUGGGCGUAAAGCGUGCGCAGGCGGUUUUGUAAGCCAGAUGUGAAAGCCCCCGGGCUUAACCUGGGAAUGGCAUUUGGGACUGCAAGGCUAGAGUGCGGCAGAGGAGACUGGAAUUCCUGGUGUAGCAGUGAAAUGCGUAGAUAUCAGGAGGAAUACCGAUGGCGAAGGCAGGUCUCUGGGCUGACACUGACGCUCAUGCACGAAAGCGUGGGGAGCAAACAGG
rnacentral:rRNA from 1 species